rnacentral:rRNA from 1 species
UACAUGCAGUCGAAGGACUCUUCGGAGUUAGUGGCGGACGGGUGAGUAAACGCCCCUACGCGCCUUUAGGUUCGGAAUAAGCCCGGGAAACUGGGUCUAAUACCGAAUGUGCCCUUCGGGGGAAAGAUUUAUCGCCUUUAGAGCGGCCCGCGUCUGAUUAGCUAGUUGGUAGUGUAAUGGACUACCAAGGCUACGAUCAGUAGCUGGUCUGAGAGGAUGACCAGCCCCAUUGGGACUGAGACACGGCCCAAACUCCUACGGGAGGCAGCAGUGGGGAAUCUUGCGCAAUGGGCGAAAGCCUGACGCAGCCAUGCCGCGUGAAUGAUGAAGGUCUUAGGAUUGUAAAAUUCUUUCACCGGGGACGAUAAUGACGGUACCCGGAGAAGAAGCCCCGGCUAACUUCGUGCCAGCAGCCGCGGUAAUACGAAGGGGGCUAGCGUUGCUCGGAAUUACUGGGCGUAAAGGGCGCGUAGGCGGACUUUUAAGUCAGGGGUGAAAUCCCAGAGCUCAACUCUGGAACUGCCUUUGAUACUGGGUGUCUUGAGUGUGAGAGAGGUAUGUGGAACUCCCAGUGUAGAGGUGAAAUUCCGUAGAUUUUCGGAAGAACCCCCGUGGCGAAGGCGACAUACUGGCUCAUUACUGACGCUGAGGCGCGAAAGCGUGGGGAGCAAACAGGAUUAGAUACCCUGGUAGCCCACCCCGUAAACCAAGAUUGCUAGUUGCCGGCUUGCAUGCCUUUCGGUGACCCAGCUAACGCAUUAAGCCAUCCCCCCUGGGGAGUACGGUCCCCAAAAUUAAAACUCA